rnacentral:rRNA from 1 species
CAGCCGCCGCGGUAAUACGAAGGGUGCAAGCGUUAAUCGGAAUUACUGGGCGUAAAGCGUGCGUAGGCGGUGAGUUAAGUCUGCUGUGAAAUCCCCGGGCUCAACCCGGGAAUGGCAGUGGAUACUGGCUCGCUAGAGUGUGUCAGAGGAUGGUGGAAUUCCCGGUGUAGCGGUGAAAUGCGUAGAGAUCGGGAGGAACAUCAGUGGCGAAGGCGGCCAUCUGGGACAACACUGACGCUGAGGCACGAAAGCGUGGGGAGCAAACAGGAUUAGAUACCCCUGUAGUCCCUGUCUCUUAUAC